rnacentral:rRNA from 1 species
CCUACGGGGGACAGCAGUGGGGAAUAUUGCACAAUGGGGGAAACCCUGAUGCAGCAACGCCGCGUGAGUGAAGGAGUAUUUCGGUAUGUAAAGCUCUAUCAGUAGGGAAGAAGAAAGACGGUACCUGACUAAGAAGCCCCGGCUAACUACGUGCCAGCAGCCGCGGUAAUACGUAGGGGGCAAGCGUUAUCCGGAUUUACUGGGUGUAAAGGGAGCGCAGGCGGCGUGGCAAGUCAGAUGUGAAAACCCGGGGCCCAACCCCGGGAGUGCAUUUGAAACUGCCAUGCUGGAGUGCCGGAGAGGUAAGCGGAAUUCCUAGUGUAGCGGUGAAAUGCGUAGAUAUUAGGAGGAACACCAGUGGCGGAGGCGGCUUACUGGACGGUAACUGACGCUGAGGCUCGAAAGCGUGGGGAGCAAACAGGAUUAGAUACCCCUGUAGUC